rnacentral:rRNA from 1 species
AGUGAACGCUGGCGGUAGGCCUAACACAUGCAAGUCGAACGGCAGCACAGUAAGAGCUUGCUCUUACGGGUGGCGAGUGGCGGACGGGUGAGGAAUACAUCGGAAUCUACUUUUUCGUGGGGGAUAACGCAGGGAAACUUACGCUAAUACCGCAUACGACCUACGGGUGAAAGCAGGGGAUCUUCGGACCUUGCGCGUAUGAAUGAGCUGAUGUCGGAUUAGCUAGUUGGCGGGGUAAAGCCCCACCAAGGCGACGACCCGUAGCUGGUCUGUGAGGAUGAUCGGCCACACUGGAACUGAGACACGGUCCAGACUCCUACGGGAGGCAGCAGUCGGGAAUAUUCGACAAUGGGCGCAAGCCUGAUCCAGCCAUACCGCGUGGGUGAAGAAGGCCUUCGGGUUGUAAAGCCCUUUUGUUGGGAAAGAAAAGCAGCAGGUUAAUCCCCCGCUGUUCUGACGGUACCCAAAGAAUAAGCACCGGCUAACUUCGUG